UGGCUAAGACAUGCAAGUCGAACGGACCGGUCAAUCGGGUAACUGAGAGGCCGGUUAGUGGCGAAAGGGUGAGGAAUAGACAGGUAACGUACCUCGUACUUCAGGACAAUGUCGUGUCCGCAAGGAUACUACCGAAAGGGGCACUAAUACUGAAUGAUGUGAUCGGUCGAAUGGCUGAUCACCAAAGAUUUAUCGGUGCGAGAGCGGCCUAUCUCCUAUCAGUUAGUUGGUGAGGUAAUGGCUUACCAAGACUAUGACGGGUAGCGGGACUGAGAGGUUGGCCCGCCACAUCGGGACUGAGACACUGCCCGGACCUCCACGGAGGGCUGCAGUAACGAAUAUUGGGCAAUGGGCGAAAGCCUGACCCAGCGACGCCGCGUGCGGGAGGAAGUCCCUCGGGAUGUAAACCGC
rnacentral:rRNA from 1 species